CAGGCAGCGGUUGCGGCGCGCGAGCCAUUUGCAUUCCCCGGCAGUCAUUUUUAUAUGCGGAGCACAUUUGAUGUGAAUAGAAGAUUUCCAUUGGCUGGCUGAUUCUGAGCACCAUCAUGGCUGAAAGAAUUCAGCGGUGAAGCCAUCAGGACCCGGGCUUUUCUUAGUUGAUAUGGGUCUGCCCUGUGUCCAAUCAACGGGCUAGUGAGAAACAUUCUUCUCAAGAUUCCUCAACUCCCCCAAAUCAGUGGAUGCAAAUAUUUCUGCCUUCCUCAGGAAAUUAGUGCCUUGUAGAAGAAAGAGUAUUUUAUAAUCUUCUACCCAUUGCAGUGAGGUGUAAGUGAACCAAAAUAGUUUAAAUUAUCAAAUGGCAUUUGUUGAGUGAGUUAAACUUCUGAGCCCUUCAUAAUCAAACCCAACCUAAUUUCCUUGACUCUUCAAUGUUUUCUUUUCUCUUGACCUCGCUAUUUGUUUUUCAUGGACCACAAUCAUGUAUUGCUCAUGACCACUGCCUCAUCCUCCUUCAUCCCUUCUCCAUUCAAAUCCUUCACAGCCUUCAGGACCCACCCAGAAUUUGCCUACUGCAGGAAGCUUCCCAGCCUCCUUUCUUUAUGCCCCCAGCUGCUAAAUGACCAAGCCAGUCUGAAAUUGUCUUGUGGCUUCAAAUCCAGGCUUCUUCCUACCACUCUCACUACAAAUCUCUGCUCAUCGAGGAUGAAUCCUUUCCUUCACUUUCCUGGGGCCACCAUUGUGUGCUGCCUUUAUUAUAGAAACCAUGCUGAUUUCUCUCUCCCUCAAGACUGCAAAAUCUUCACAGAAAACUUAUCAGACUUGCAGAGUGCUUGCCACAUGAUGAUCCUCACUGUAAACACUGGCUGGGAAAAUGACUGAAUGAGCAAUGGAAAAAAACAUCUUAUCCAGCCUAGUGGCUGGGAAGAUUUUGAUGCAUCUGUGUAUCUAACAUAGCACAGUUCUCAGUGCUUUACAUGUAGCAGGCACAUUGUGUAUUUUGUUGAAAAGAAAAAAAGUGUGUGGGUGAACAAAGGAGUAAAGAAUGAAUGAACAAAUAAAUGGUCAAAAAUGUGUGGGAUACUGGGAUGGAAAAUCAAGGUGAACACAAGUCAUGCUAAAUACUAGAGUCCCUUUAAAA
ensembl:lncRNA